CGGCUCUUGAUGUCCACCUGGGCAGGCCGAGACGCCAGGGAAAUGGGAGCUUGCAGGAACCCAGCACCAUCUGCUGCUGGCCCCUGCCAGGCCUGGCCUGCAGUGUGCACAGAGUGCAGGCAGGACAGCAGCAGGGAGGCGGUCAGUGCUUCCCGCCCCUCGCUGCCGCCUCGCCAGGACGCGCAGAAAGGGCAGGAGAGGAGCACGGGGCUGGGCACUGCUCCAGCCGUCGUGAUGCUGUGCAGUAAGACCACACUCAAAGUGACAGAUGACUCCAUGCUAGCCACGGUGGCAGCAUCUGGCCCAUGGGUGCCCGAGGAUGAUGAAACGGUGAAGACAUGUGGACCCUGACUUCUCCAAAGUUCAUGUAAAUGGUUCAAGGCUCAGAAAUGAAGGGGAUUUUUGGACCAAAAUUUCAACUUUUGCUUGAACUGAAACUGACACAUGAAGAUUUUCCUUCCAGACUAUGUUUGCAGGGAACGAAGUAACAGUUCAAGAAUACAAAACUAUGAAUUGGAGGAACUGUGGUUAAGACCCAAGUCCUGCCUGGAUUUCCACGCACACAAAACACUGUGGAUAACACACAACCCUUAAAAAGCCUUGGCUUUUGAAAACCAGUGCCGAGGCACUUGGGAGGGG